rnacentral:rRNA from 1 species
UGGGGAAUAUUGGGCAAUGGGGGAAACCCUGACCCAGCAACGCCGCGUGAAGGACGAAGGCCUUCGGGUUGUAAACUUCUUUGAUCAGGGACGAAAAAAAUGACGGUACCUGAAGAACAAGCCACGGCUAACUACGUGCCAGCAGCCGCGGUAAUACGUAGGUGGCGAGCGUUAUCCGGAUUUACUGGGUGUAAAGGGCGUGUAGGCGGGUUUGCAAGUCGGAUGGGAAAUUUCCGGGCUUAACCCGGGCAGGUCAUCCGAAACUGCAGAUCUUGAGUACUGGAGAGGAUAGUGGAAUUCCUAGUGUAGCGGUAAAAUGCGUAGAUAUUAGGAGGAACACCAGUGGCGAAGGCGGCUAUCUGGACAGUAACUGACGCUGAGGCGCGAAAGCGUGGGGAGCAAACA